CUGACCUCAGAGGGGAAAACUGGUGUAUGUUUUUUGACAUUUUUGUGCCUGCUCCACAUAACAGAAAUCCAUAUGAGCAGAGCCUGUUUCCAGUUUCUUUGAGGCUUCUGCAUAGCAGUGUUUCCAGUGUGAAAGCGCAUCAGAAAAUCCACAAAAGAAAGUGAGUGGCCUGGGUAUUACUACCAUAGUGGCAAUCAGUGGAGUGGAGAGCCAUGGUUAAAUACUGCUGAUCUGUAGAUCUCUCCACAUCUGUCAUUUUCCUCUGAUUGGAUUUCAUUCAUUCCCUGUUCUUGAACGCUCCGGUUGUUUUGUAAUAAACUCCUGAACUUCAAUUCAGUUCAGUUUUAUUUAUAGAGCACCAAUACCUCACCUCAAACCACUUCAUGAUGUAAGUUAAAGAUCCUACAGUAUUAGAAAGAAACCCCCAAAUUCAUGACCCCCUUUAAGUAAUAACUUGGCAACAGUGGGAAGAGAAAACUCAAUUUUAAGAGGAAGAAACCUUCGGCAGAACCAGA
ensembl:lncRNA